rnacentral:rRNA from 1 species
UUCUUAGUUCGUGGAGUGAUCUGUCUGCUUAAUUGCGUUUCACUAAGGGCCCAUAAAUUCAAGGUAUGUUAGCUAUCGUUUCUCAAUUGACCCCUUGUCUUCGAUAAGCGCGUGUCUUUUAGAGUUUAAACAUUGCGCAUGCUGUUGGGUCCUGAAAGCAACGAACGUGACCGCAACGUCUUAUUGCCUUUAUCUUGUUAUAUUUUAAUUUAAUUAGAAAUAACUAACAGAGGCUAAUUUAAAAUUAGACGGACCGCUGUACUUUUCUUAAACCAGAGGAAGGUUGCGGCAAUAACAGGUCUGUGAUGCCCUUAGAUGUUCCGGGCUGCACACGUGCUACAAUGAUCAGUACAGUGAGCAUCUCAAUAUUAUACACCGUAUUAAGCGCUUAGUUGCGAUUAUUGGCUCAUUAUUGGGUCUUUUAAUUGUAUUUCUAAUGCGCGCGGUAAAGCCUGCUUCGAGAGUAAGUGGGUAAUCCAUUGGAAGUAAUGAUUUCUCUUUUUAUAGCACACCUAUAUACGGCAUUCAUUCCCGGGACGACUAGUUUCGUCUUUUUUGUGCGAAUGUAAUGUAUUCUUUAUCCGUAUGUGCGAUUGUCAA